CUCUAGCAGAAACCGAUAAAAUCACUCUGGAAGUAGCAAAACUUAUCAAAGAUGAUUUCUUACAACAAAAUGGGUAUACUCCUUAUGACAGGUUCUGCCCAUUCUACAAGACAGUAAGGGUGCUGUCCAACAUGAUUGCAUUUUAUGAUAUGGCCCGUAGAGCUGUUGAAACCACGCGCAGAGUGACAAUAAAAUCACGUGGUCCAUCAUCCGUGAGCACAUGGGGGAGAUCCUCUACAAACUGUCCUCCAUGAAAUUCAAGGAUCCAGUGAAAGACGGUGAGGCAAAGAUCAAGGCUGACUAUGCACAGCUUCUGGAAGACAUGCAGAACGCAUUUCGUAGCCUUGAAGAUUAGAACUGUGACUUCCCUCCUUCCUUUCCUCAACAGUGUCUCAUCUGUGUAUAUUUUCCUAAAUUUCUCAUCUCCAAACCCUCUGCUUCUUUGUUGAGCAGCUUUGAGACUAGUGCCUGUGUGUGUUAUCACGUGUCCCCCUGUUAUCUGGUGGGUCUUCUCUAAAACAAACAUUCCUUUGUUCCAGUGUUUGAACGGCCUCCCUGAUCCUUUCUCCGAAGUGGUGAAUGUAGUAAAUAGGACAUAUACUGGCUACACUACUGUAAACUCGUAUGUGGGGGGACCUCCCUCCUUGUCCUAGGUUUGCCCUUUCCUCGUCGCCAUUAAGUUGCCCACGAGACUGCUGCAUGUACUGUCUUUGCAGUAGAGUUGGAAUGGAAGGCCAGAUUUCUGUACACGUUGACAGGUACUUUGUGAAAUGACUCCAUAUCUAUGUGGCAAGGUUAUUUGUCGCUUAGCAUUUUGCUAAGUAGCUGCUUUGCAGGAUAUACUUGCUUUUUUAAAAACAUGAAUGAUUAAUGUUCCGAAUAUGCAUUGCUUCCCCCAGUAUAAAUCAGGAAUGUUUAUAGGAAACUGUUGGGAACUCUACUGUUUUUAAAACAGGCAUUUGUGGGACUCGGCACAGUACAUGAAUCCGUACCCCGUAAAACAGUGGAAAAGGAGCCAGGUGGUCAAACUGAAACAUCAUCUUGUUAAAGCAUGUUUUACUUCAGUAUGAAAAAUUCAGCACCAAGGACUACACUACUACAUUACUAGGAAAGUCUUUUUAAAAUCACAUUUAAAACAAUCACCGGGAACUUGAUCCAUAUCACACCCUUUUUCUUUUCCCCAAACAUCUUAGAAGCCUAAGCUUCUAAGAAUCAUGUGGCAGUGCGAUGGGCAGUAAAAUGCCACAGAGAAGAUACUCAGUAGCGGUUAAAGGCUGUUUGCACCAUUAAGGACCAGCUGGACUGUAGUGACUCUUGGGGCCAGAGCGGGGCUAUGUUUUUACAGGAGAACGGUGUGUGCCACAUGUCUGCGUGUGUGUUUGCUCACUGAACUUUUGAACAACCAGGUUGCCAGCUUACUGGCUCAAAAGACUUCUCAGAAUAUCUGUAACAAUAGCAUAGCAGUUUCCAUCCUGUUUAAUAGGGGUGAACAUUCUUUUAUCUGCUGGUAACAGAAUCUGGGUCCUGUGGGUAAAAAGAUAAUUUCAUUGUCUUUUAAGUUUAUGUUUUAAAAUAAUAAGUUCUCUCUUUGUGUAAGGCACACCGCAGACCAGCUCUGAUCGCAACAGUCUCUCACUAACACUUUGUGACCAAUAGUGCUGCCACCAUUGCUUCCUCUUUGGGAAGAGGAGACGGUUGUGAACAUGCCUAACGAUGUCAAAUACCCAGUGUAAGAGCAUAAAUCAAGUAUUUAUUUUCUGCCUCAGGAUAUUACUUCAAUUUUGAGGUAUGUCUUUCUUUUGGUCCGUCAGGGAGAGGAGAGAAUUGAGCAGAGUUUGUUUCAUUCCUUGCAGAUUGCAUGUGUUUAGAGGGGCUUGCUGUGCAGGAUGGAUAUUCUUCCAUAUGCAGCUUUUCUUUUAACUUUUCCAAAUAUUGGAGGAUACAAAAAUUAUGCAAUGAUUCAUUGAAAUGUGGACUUAAUGGUGCUGCUUACCAGUUUGCUUCCAAUGUGGCCUCCAGCCAGAGGCCCUAAGACCAGUGGAAUUGAAAAGGAUUUCAAAAAUGUUCUAUUCCUACCUGAAGCCUAUCAGGAAACCAAGACUGUGAUAGUAAUGAAUGAUAUGAUGAGGAAAGUUUGACCAAGUUUGUUUCUUAUCGUUCUGAAUUUGCAAUGUAAUUUUUACUCCCUUUGAGAAUGCUGCUGUGUGGCUGUGAAGACGCUAGAGACAGAAGAUGCUCUGAUACUCCUUGUUACGUGUCCCGUCACCUGUAUGUUGAGGACUUCAAAUUGGUAACUGAUCGUAUUUCUUUAGGAAGAACGUGUUAAAAUUACAACAAGCUGUUAAAAAGAUGAUGCCGUUCUAUAUUUAUUGUGCUAUGCCUGGUCCUAAAUGGAACCAGUUAAACAAGUUUCAUAUGUAUUUUUCCAGUGUUAUAUCUCACACAUUGUACCCUUUGGAAAUUUCCUUCCAUCUGAAGAAGGAAUAGAAGGGGCCAUAUAUAUUGCCUCCUUAUCCUUGAGAUCUCACUAUCUUUAUGUUAAAAGUUGUGGAUAAUUGUUAAAAAUCUAUGAAAGAAUAAAAAGUGGAUUUAAAUUAA